rnacentral:rRNA from 1 species
GACAGAGGGUGCAAACGUUGUUCGGAAUUACUGGGCGUAAAGCGCGUGUAGGCGGCCCUGCAAGUCGGGUGUGAAAUCCCACGGCUCAACCGUGGAAGUGCAUUCGAAACUGCAGGGCUAGAGUCCUGGAGAGGAAGGUGGAAUGCUUGGUGUAGAGGUGAAAUUCGUAGAUAUCAAGCGGAGCACCGGUGGCGAAGGCGGCCUUCUGGACAGUGACUGACGCUGAGACGCGAAAGCGUGGGGAGCAAACAGG